rnacentral:rRNA from 1 species
CCUACGAGUGGCAGCAGUGGGGAAUAUUGCACAAUGGGGGAAACCCUGAUGCAGCAACGCCGCGUGAAGGAAGACGGUUCUCGGAUUGUAAAACUCUGUUUUUACUGAAGUAUAAUGACGGUAGCUAAGGCGCCAGCCACGGCUAACUACGUGCCAGCAGCCGCGGUCCUACGUAGGUGGCAAGCGUUGUCCGGAAUUACUGGGUGUAAAGGGAGCGCAGGCGGGUAGCGAAGUCAGCUGUGAAAACUACGGGCUUAACUUGUAGACGGCAGUUGAAACGGGUUUUCUGGAGGGAAGUAGUGUAUGGCGGAAUUCCGGGGGUAGCGGGGAA